GGCCUGAUAGCACAACGGUUAGUGCAUCUGCUAAAUCUCACGCAGUAGGAGUGACUUUCUGCAGAAGAUCCCCGUUCGAUUCGGGGUCAGGUCA